AUUUGCUUAAAAAAUUAAUAAAUGUGAUUGGAGGUAAAUUAUACAAGGAGAGAAGAGCGUAACAUGAAGGGAAACUUUGCCUCUCCAACGUAAAGGGUAAAUCAAAAAUUUUAUAUUAUUGAGAACUCAUUAAUUCACAUUGAAUAUGGAUCCAUUAAUUCACAUUAAAUAUGGAUCAAAUUAAUCUCUCAAUCAUAAUCCUUAAAAAAUUAUCUGCUACUUAUUUAAAGUAGAAAAGUAAUUAAAUAAGUGAAGCAAUCAUUCCCCUUUUUUGGAAUCCUAGGAUUGAAUGAGAAACUAAAAUUAUACACAUUAAUUUGAUUCCUUAUGAUAUUGGAAAUGGCCACUCUUUCAUUUGUUUUUGAAACACUUUUUUCCCCUAAAUGUAUUUGGAG
rnacentral:misc_RNA from 1 species